CCUACGGGGGGCUGCAGUGGGGAAUAUUGGACAAUGGACGAAAGCCUGAUCCAGCCAUGCCGCGUGUGUGAAGAAGGCCUUCGGGUUGUAAAGCACUUUCAGUGGGGAAGAAAGCCUUGGGGCUAAUACCCUCGAGGAAGGACAUCACCCACAGAAGAAGCACCGGCUAACUCCGUGCCAGCAGCCGCGGUAAUACGGAGGGUGCGAGCGUUAAUCGGAAUUACUGGGCGUAAAGCGCGCGUAGGCGGUCUGAUAAGCCGGUUGUGAAAGCCCCGGGCUCAACCUGGGAACGGCAUCCGGAACUGUCAGGCUAGAGUGCAGGAGAGGAAGGUAGAAUUCCCGGUGUAGCGGUGAAAUGCGUAGAGAUCGGGAGGAAUACCAGUGGCGAAGGCGGCCUUCUGGACUGACACUGACGCUGAGGUGCGAAAGCGUGGGUAGCAAACAGGAUUAGAUACCCGAGUAGUC
rnacentral:rRNA from 1 species